CUCUAGACUGCUGGUUGCAUAUUGUCCAGUUGCAAGUAUUUCUUGCAAAUUAGAGAAAACAUACAAGUUUUAAUGUUGUUUUUUUUUUCAGUUCUCCUGAAUAAAUUAACUUUAGGCUGUUGAUUGCGAAUUGUCCAGUUGUCAGUAUAUAUUUCAUGCAUAAUUAGAGAGAACAUUAAAGUUUUAACGCGCAGAGAAAGGGACAGUUUGACCCGCUAACUGUACUGUUUAACUCAACAUGUUUGCUUAAACAAUUUACAAACGAAAUAGCCGAAAUGACGCCCCCACUUUAAGCCAGUUUAAUUCUUCCGUUUUGAAAAAGUACUAACGUGCUUAUGUAUAUUUUUAAUGAAAUGGUAAAAUUAGUAUACGUUAAUGAAAUAGCAAUAACCAAAUAACGCUUGAUAUGGACACGUUUUGGGGAUUGGACACGUUUGGGGGCUAGUUGAGAAAUGGACACGUUUGGGCGUUUAUACAAAUGACACGUUUUGAUGCAGUUUUCAACUAGACAUGUUUGGGGGAAUCGGACACGUUUGGGGGGAAGGACACGUUUCUGAGUGUUACAUAUAUGUUGA
rnacentral:lncRNA from 1 species